UUGAUGUGUUAUGGGUUCUUGCAUAACUAUUUUGUAGAUAGAUUUUUAAUGGUUUAUGUUUAUUGGUACAUGGACUGCUUUAGUAUUUGAUUUGUCGUUGAUGUAAUAGGCACGAUGAAUGCUUAGAAAUAGAGUUCAUAUGUCCAUAAAAUAUAUUUCAUGUUUUGAUCUAUUCUACUCUUACAUCCUUAAUCAAGAAUCGCAGGAUUUAU
rnacentral:lncRNA from 1 species